GCAUUGGUUCAGUGGUAGAAUUCUUGCCUUUCACGCAGGAGACCUGUGUUUAAUUCCCAGCCAAUGUA
rnacentral:tRNA from 1 species